rnacentral:rRNA from 1 species
AUGAACGCUGGCGGCGUGCCUAAUACAUGCAAGUCGAGCGAACAGAUAAGGAGCUUGCUCCUUUGACGUUAGCGGCGGACGGGUGAGUAACACGUGGAUAACCUACCUAUAAGACUGGGAUAACUUCGGGAAACCGGAGCUAAUACCGGAUAACAUAUUGAACCGCAUGGUUCCAUAGUGAAAGGCGGCCUUGCUCUCACUUAUAGACGGAUCCGCGCCGUAUUAGCUAGUUGGUAAGGUAACGGCUUACCAAGGCAACGAUACGUAGACGACCUGAGAGGGUGAUCGGCCACACUGGAACUGAGACACGGUCCAGACUCCUACGGGAGGCAGCAGUAGGGAAUCUUCCACAAUGGGCGAAAGCCUGACGGAGCAACGCCGCGUGAGUGAUGAAGGUCUUCGGAUCGUAAAACUCUGUUAUCAGGGAAGAACAAAUGUGUAAGUAACUGUGCACAUCUUGACGGUACCUGAUCAGAAAGCCACGGCUAACUACGUG